AAUCUUUGAACGCACAUUGCGCCCCCUGGUAUUCCGGGGGGCAUGCCUGUUCGAGCGUCAUUUCACCACUCAAGCCUCGCUUGGUAUUGGGCAACGCGGUCCGCCGCGUGCCUCAAAUCGUCCGGCUGGGUCUUCUGUCCCCUAAGCGUUGUGGAAACUAUUCGCUAAAGGGUGUUCGGGAGGCUACGCCGUAAAACAACCCCAUUUCUAAGGUUGACCUCGGAUCAGGUAGGGAUACCCGCUGAACUUAAGCAUAUCAAUAAGCGGAGGAAAAGAAACCAACAGGGAUUGCUCUAGUAACGGCGAGUGAAGCAGCAAUAGCUCAAAUUUGAAAUCUGGCGUCUUCGACGUCCGAGUUGUAAUUUGUAGAGGAUGCUUCUGAGUGGCCACCGACCUAAGUUCCUUGGAACAGGACGUCAUAGAGGGUGAGAAUCCCGUAUGCGGUCGGAAAGGCGCUCUAUACGUAGCUCCUUCGACGAGUCGAGUUGUUUGGGAAUGCAGCUCUAAAUGGGAGGUAAAUUUCUUCUAAAGCUAAAUAUUGGCCAGAGACCGAUAGCGCACAAGUAGAGUGAUCGAAAGAUGAAAAGCACUUUGGAAAGAGAGUUAAAAAGCACGUGAAAUUGUUAAAAGGGAAGGGAUUGCAACCAGACUUGCUCGCGGUGUUCCGCCGGUCUUCUGACCGGUCUACUCGCCGCGUUGCAGGCCAGCAUCGUCUGGUGCCGCUGGAUAAGACUUGAGGAAUGUAGCUCCCUCGGGAGUGUUAUAGCCUCUUGUGAUGCAGCGAGCGCCGGGCGA
rnacentral:rRNA from 1 species